ACUUAUAAACAUUUAUAUGUUCAUUUGCAUCCCACGGGACCAAAAGUGCAGCUUGGACUUGCUGAGGUAUUUUCUUCAAUUGAUGUAGUUUCUGUUGUUAUAGUGAAAUAUUAUAGAUGAAGCUACCGGUGAUGACAAGAAACCAAACGUUGUUACUUUUUGCGACGUGACGAAGGCUGCUACAUACUCUUGGCAAAGAAGAACUAAAGAACUAAACGGUGGCCACUUGCAAUGGUUAUUGCGUUGAGAAAUGUAGCUGGCAUUCAUACUUUACCUAUAAUUAUGACAAGUCUUCGGAAAAUAAACUAAAACCUGGAAUUAUUUUGA